rnacentral:tRNA from 1 species
GUUUCUGUAGUGUAGUGGUUAUCACGUUCGCUUUACACGCAAAAGGUCCCUGGUUCGAAACCGGGCAGAAGCA